UAAGCGACCCUAUCUAAGAAGUAGGCGGUCCCAGGUUCGAAUCCUGGUAAGAAAAUAUAGAUGUUACAAUCCACUUACUGCACCACUUAGCAGAAUUGAAACUAAGAUAACUGUUUGUAGCCUUUUGGAUAGAAACCCUGGCUAAGAAAAAAGCGACUCUGGGUUCGAAUCCUUGUUAGAAAACUAAUUUAUAUGUGGAGACUUGAGAGGUUUUUAUUGGACGUACUUUCGCCACUCUUAGAAAUUAAAUGAACUUCUUAAAUUUAAUCAGUGUGAAUAAAAAAGUAUACAUAAUAUAUACUGAAUAGGCAUUCUUCGCAAACUGAAUAGAAUUGACCAGAAUAGGUUUUACUGAUCAUGUAAACUUGACAAAGUUAUCUUAUUAAACACGUCCAUAUGUUGCUUAUGCAUGUAUGUAUGUAGUUGCGCUUUUGAUUUAACUCCCGUCUUCCAUUACGAUGGUACAAAAUACAAACGGUAAGCUUUACAUAAUAUGGAUACCCGUUAUCAAAAUUCUAAAUAGCCCCACAAGCGGGUUGGUAUAAUAGCAUUUUGCGAGUCGCAUUCCAAGUUACAGUGGUAUAUAGGUAUACAAGGAAACAAUACCAAAGGUAUUAGAUGUAAAAAUAUAUAUUAGGGCAUUACCUUACAACUUCCUAAAGUGGAGAUGAGUUUGUUCUUGUCGAUCACACGGUCUCAAGUAUCAUUGUGUUGGUAAUCCAUUUCCCGCCCAGGAGCCUAAAGUAUAAUUGAGUGCUAGUCAAAGUUUAGAACUCAGAAUUAAAAAAGGUUUCUUUCUCUCGAAAAGGCGUCGCCAUUGUUUAAUAUCUAUUUCAUUUUGUUUAUUUUUUUACGAUAAUCUACACACUUCUACCAUUCUUACUAUAUAUAUUAUAAAUAUUAUAAAUGCGAUAAUAACUCAUAUCACUCGUCUUGCUUAUGGAAAAAAUCCAGAAAGCGUUUCUGCGAUUCUUAUAUAAAAAGGUUUACGGGUAUUACCCAUAUUUGUACCCAUCAAAGUUCUUGCUUGGCGUUUUAGGGUUUAAUUCCUUAGAGGUGAGACGUAACUACGGGCUAUUGACUACUGUAUGUAACGUCUUACGGUGGAACUCGGACUGGCCUGAACUGGUUGCACAGCUCGUACGCCUGUUCGUUCCAUCUGUGGCUAAGGCCCAAUUUAAUUUCCGACCACGAAUUCGUCACCUAUUAGCGGUGCCUAAAACACGCACUAUGUCCCAUGGCAAAUCACCACUUGUCCGCGCUCUACAAUAUAUCGCGCUCCUCGCAUCAGCACCGGAAUGUAAUGUAUUUGCAAGUAGUAGGAUGGAUAUGUGUAAAGAAUGUAUGAAGUUCUGUGAGACGAUGGAUAAGCGAGAAUCUUCUGUUUUUUAUUUGUUUUUCUUUCUUACAUUUGUUCUCUUUUUCCAUUCUAGACUGUAUCAUGUACCUAGUUUGUAUACAUACUGUCUAUUAAAAAUUUCACAGUGUAUUAGUUUGCUGUAAUGCUGUGUAAAUUUAUUGAAUCAAUAAAAUAAAAAAUAAACUCUGUGUAAAAUUUGGUAUGGAGAUUGUUUCAGAGCCGGGGAAGGACAUCAGGAUAGUUUCUAUGAUUCAUCAUCAUUCUACGUCUACGCGGACGAAGUCGAGGGCAGAAACUAGUACUUAAAUAAAUGCAAUAUAAAUAAUAUUACUUAAUUAAGAGGGUAACAUAAAUAAUAACUAGACUUCGAUAGGUACCUAAAACAGUUUUAUAUUAAAUCAGGUUUCGUUGGAGGAAGAGUCCGAAUUUUGAGCAACGAUGCUAUGCGAGAAGUCGCGCAAAACAACGCGAGUUGCGUAUCCUGUACUGGAGGCCAAGACCCACGGUGCUGCUGAUUUACAAAUGAAAAUUUGUGUAAUGAUAUGCAAACGAAACCAGAGGAAUUAAGUGUUCAGCGGAACUGCUCCUGAAAAAAAGAUUGCUGUCAUAAGAGAUGCGGGUAUCUACUUUCAAUAUGUGUGACCAGCCUAUAAGAUCGAACCUGAAGCAAACAAGACAAUUUACCCUUAAAUGUAUUAGUAUAAGUUUGCCUAUUUAUUAUUAAUUCUCCAUAUUGCCUAAUAAAACAACUAUAUUGUGCAUUAGAAGACAGUAUCAUCCGGACAUGGUAUAUCAGAAUGUUACGUUCUGUGGAUAUACUCUGUUCUAAUGCACAGACAUUUUUAUUGUGUGAUUAA